ensembl:lncRNA
AAAACAUGUUAGCCCCGCCCUAAGGGUGGAGAAAACAGGAGUGUCCUUUGAAUGACACUCCCUCCUCUCUUUCUUCUCUUCCUAGAUGCUUCUCUGCGGCCUCACAGGCUGGCAGGCAGCCUGUGAUGGGGCCCUGCUCAGAAGACCCCCGCCUCUGCGGGGCCUCCAGGCUCCUAGGAUUCACCAGCUUCCUCCUCAGUGUCUGCUGCACUGGGGUCGAGAAUUCUACAGCACCUGGUCCUGGAGUUCAGGAUUCUGGACUUGUUCCCCUGCAGAGGAUCCGAGGAGGUUCUGUGUUGUUUCAUGUGACCAAGAAUCAAAAAGCUGACCCAGAGGAGGUCUCAUGGGGCUUUGGCCCUGAGUUAAACUACAGCGUCAUGCUGCGAGUCCACCGUGGGGCAGACACCCCAACCUGGGUCAGCCUCCAGGACAAGUACCAGCACAGGGUCCAUGUGCCUAACAUCCUGUUCCUGAGGAUUGAUAACCUGACCCUAGAGGACAGUGGGCAGUACCGGGCUCGAGCCAGCUUCACUAGAGGAAUAGAAUUAAACCAGGUUUUCCUCCUCACUGUCUAUGAAACUGUACCCGUUCCUAAGAUCCUUGUCAAGUCAGCAUCCUUCACACCAGGCUGGUGCAAUGCCACUCUGGAGUGCACAGCCCCAGGGGAUACAAAGGACCUGAAGGUGACCUGGGAGAUCAAGGACCUUCCCAGGGAGCUGGAGCAGAGAGUGACAUCAGAACUACCCUCCAAGUCCUGGAACCUGACUCUGUGCCUGCCUGUGAGCCAGCCCAGUGGCAGCUUGACCUGUAUGGUCAGCAACCAGGUGGACCAGAAAACUGCCAUCUUAGGCCUUGGAGAAGUCUGUGUCUCUGAUUCACCUGAAAACAAUGAUGAUAAGACCCUGUCAGGCAUCAUAGGGACUGUCGUGAUUAUCCUGUUGAUCUGCGUAAUUGGACUGUUCCUUUGGAAGACCUGUGUGAAGAAGAGGAAGAUGACGACUGGAAGAGGUGUAGAAGUUCAGGAGGAUCAGAGGGACAAUGAUGGUGGCCUCCACUAUGCGGAGCUGAGCCAGCAGGAGUCUGCCGCACACAAGGGAUCCACUUACUUCAGUCAUUCUGCUCCAGUGGAACUCUGGCCAGUGUAUGAAAAUAAAAGUUCCAGAACUGGACCCAACAGGGUGGAGCAAUGUGGGGAAGGAACCAUGGAGUGAUGAUUGGACAGAGUGCCUUAUCCCUCCAGCCCCUACUGAGGUUCUUGGGACAACAAUAAUGGUAACAAAAAUAUUAAUGCUGCUCAUCAGAGCUUAUUUUCCUUUUAUAAUGUUUUUAAAAUGCUAUUUUAAAAAGUAAAAUGAGUAGGGGUAGUAGUGAAAGCAGAAAAAGAUCAACAAAUAUGGACAAGUAUCUACCCAAAAGUCAUGGUCCAUAAAUAGAAAGACUGUUCAUUUGCCACACAGCCAAAAGCAGAUGGGAAAGGCUUACAAACACUAGAGGUGCAAACUCUCUGAAAAGGCAUUGAACAUGUGGUCUGGAAGGGAAACUGAAUGGUUCCAUGAUACAGAAGAGAAGAUCUGAUCUGGGUGGAUGAGACCUGAUGAGUUCCAUAAAUCUGUCUAUUGAUGGCAUUCUCAUCUACCACAUACCCAUCCAGGGUGAAAUGGGGAGACCCAGGUGCCUCUGCCACCUCAACUCCCUCUGCCUCUCACAAUGUUCCCUUCAGCUUCCACAUUCACUGUCUUCCGAGGUACAGACCAGAGUCUGGGUCCUGGAUGGCUCUCCUACAGAACUCAUCAGUCUGUAAAACACCUGCUUUCCUUAUUUCUUUUUGAAAAAGUGAACAGAUGAAGCUUGUAUGAAGGACCUUCUCUCUUCUUUUAACUUCCCUUUCAUACCUGAUCCUGUCCAUAAAUGCUAGUUGCGCCUACCAGCAUCCUUAGUUUCAGCAUUAUUGCUCCCUCAAUAGACUACAGGCAAUUUGAGGGCAGAGGUGUUUGCUCUCUGUUCCAUCACCUAUAUAACUAAGUCAAGAGUUGUUUCCUCACAGCUGUUCAUUAAUUUUUGUUGGAAGAUAUAAAACAUUUGCUCAAAAUAAUUUGCUCCUUCCCUGAUCUCUGGGCUGCUUUUGGAGCCCACUCAAGCACACAGAUCCCUUAAAGUUGAAUGUUAUUGUCCCUGCAGAUGAUCUGCUCAGAGCUGCCCACUGAGUUCUGC